rnacentral:misc_RNA from 1 species
GGAUGAAGAACGUAGCGAAAUGCGAUAAGUAAUGUGAAUUGCAGAAUUCAGUGAAUCAUCGAAUCUUUGAACGCACAUUGCUCCCAUUAGUAUUCUAGUGGGCAUGCCUGUUCGAGCGUCAUUUCAACCCUCAAGCCUUAGCUGCUUGGUGUUGGGAGCUUAUCUUGCCGAAAGGCGGACAACUCCUUAAAACUAUUGGCGGAGUCUCGGUGACCCCAAGCGCAGUAAAUCUUCUUUUUUUUUUUCUCGCUUUAGGUGUCAACGCUGGCUUUUCUAGCCGUUAAACCCUCUAAAUUUUUUAGUGGUUGACCUCGGAUCAGGUAGGACUACCCGCUGAACUUAAGCAUAUCAAUAAGCGGAGGA